GUUUAUGGCCAUACCACCCUGAGAACGCCCAAUCUUGUCUGAUUUCAGAAGCUAAGCAGGGUCAGGUCCGGUUAGUACUUGGAUGGGAGACCCUGUGGGAAUACCGGGUGCUGUAGGCU
rnacentral:rRNA from 1 species